rnacentral:miRNA from 1 species
CUUUGCCUGGCACCUUGUUCUG